rnacentral:sRNA from 1 species
GUGCUAACCCUACCUACCUUCUGUUGAAUAAUUUGACUUCUGUUAUGGCUUACUUUUUAAAACUGUUUGUUCAAAACUGAGCUAGGGAAGUUGUCAAGCCUUAAAGGAAGAGAAUACAAUAUUUACUCAUUUUAUUCCUGAUUAUAAAAGUGAUGAGUAUAUAGUGUAAAGAUUGGAUAAGUAGGAAGUGUGGGGGUGAUUCCUUUCUUCCUUCUAUUCUUAUGCCUCUUCCCUGUUUUCUCCUUUUUCUAUAUAUAUCUCUAGUGGUUCCAAGUUUCCAGUAUUCAAUAUGUCAUACAAUCCAGCAGAAAAUGCAGUCCUGCUUUGUACGAGAGCUAGCAAUUUAGAGAAUAGUACCUAUGACCUGUACACCAUCCCUAAAGAUGCUGACUCCCAGAAUCCUGAUGGUAAGUGUUCUUUUUGUCUACCCCACUCUGCUUCCAGCUCUCCUCACCCGCAUCAUAACUCCUCUUCAAGUUUUUCGCAUUCCAUCCCCAAGCCAUGGCCACGUCACUCAUGUCUGUUGGCAGGUGCUGCUGACAAUUGCAUCAGAGGCGACCAUGGUGUGAAAUAUUCAU